rnacentral:rRNA from 1 species
UAGGGAAUCUUCCGCAAUGGACGCAAGUCUGACGGAGCAACGCCGCGUGUGUGAAGAAGGUUUUCGGAUCGUAAAGCACUGUUAUUAGAGAAGAACAGCCGAUAGAGUAACUGUUAUCGGUUUGACGGUAUCUAACCAGAAAGUGACGGCUAACUACGUGCCAGCAGCCGCGGUAAUACGUAGGUCACAAGCGUUGUCCGGAUUUAUUGGGCGUAAAGGGAGCGCAGGCGGUUUGUUAAGUCUGAUGUGAAAGCCCACGGCUCAACCGUGGAACGGCAUUGGAAACUGGCAAACUUGAGUAUAGAAGAGGAAAGUGGAAUUCCAUGUGUAGCGGUGAAAUGCGUAGAUAUAUGGAGGAACACCAGUGGCGAAGGCGACUUUCUGGUCUAUAACUGACGCU